CGGACGGGUGAGUAAUGCUUGGGAAUCUAGCUUAUGGAGGGGGAUAACUACGGGAAACUGUAGCUAAUACCGCGUAGAAUCGGGAGAUGAAAGUGUGGGACCUUCGGGCCACAUGCCAUAGGAUGAGCCCAAGUGGGAUUAGGUAGUUGGUGAGGUAAAGGCUCACCAAGCCGACGAUCUCUAGCUGGUCUGAGAGGAUGACCAGCCACACUGGGACUGAGACACGGCCCAA
rnacentral:rRNA from 1 species